AUGAGAGGGACUGGAUGUUUGGAGGGGGACACGGGGCUGGACAUCUGGAUCCCCAAACCCGGACUCACCUCUCGGACAGGGCUGAUUCCGAUCGGACACUUCCGGUGGAAGGACUGAGCGGCGCUACACUUCAAGAAUUCCGUCCACAGGGACUUGUGAGUCUGCGCAGAAGGCGGGAUGCCUUUGGACUACAAUUCCAAGAAUCCUUCCUGGGUCUCUUCGGGCGCAGACUUUUCGCCAAAGUCCUGAAGAUCUCAGGGCUUGAAGGAGGGGGCAUCUUUUUUCUCCAUUGUAGUAGUGUGUCUUGCUAAAUAACAGAAGGGACUCCUGAAAAGAAAAUGACGUUGGCCGGGCGCGGUGGCUCACGCCUGCAGUCCCAGCACUUUGGGAGGCCGAGACGGGCGGAUCACGAGGUCAGGAGAUCGAGACUAUCCUGGUUUACGCGGUGACACCCUGUGUCUACUAAAAAUACAAAAAAAAAAAAAAAAAAAAAAAUUGCCGGGCGUGGUGGCACGCGCCUGUAGUUCCAGGUGCUCGGGAGGCUGAGGCAGGAGAAUCGCUUGAACCCGGGAGGCGGAGCUUGCAGUGAGCCGAGACCGCGCCACUGCACUCCAGCUUGGGUGACAGAGUGAGACUCAGUCUCAGAAAAAGAAGAAGAAGAAAAAGAUACACACUCGAGCACACAUUUUCUCAGCAAAGCAAUUUACUUCUAUAGAAGGGUGCGUCUCACGGAUGGAGCAAUGGCGAGAGCACACCUGAACAAGGGAGGGGAAGGGGUUCUUAUCCCUGACGCAGGUAGUCCCUAGUGCUGUGUCGUUCCCCUACUGGCUAGGGUUGGACCGCACAGUCUAAGUUAAUUCCGAUUGGCUAUUUUAAAGAGAGCAGGGGUAUGAGCCGGAGUGGUAGGGUGAGCAGUUUCAGUGGGAAGGACGGUUACGGAACAGGUGACUAAAGGUGACUCAGGUGGUGAAAUUGAAGCCCACGCAGCAGGGUUGCAACUGAAACUUCAUCUCCUCUGCAAAACCUUCCUGCAUUCCCAGACAACUUUUCUUCUGAGGCCUUGUUUGAUUCAUCCCCUUACCCCAGUGGAACUCAGAUAUUCAAAAUGGUAUUAAUUAAAACCACUGGCUGUCAUUGGUCCAUGCAUGGCCUUAAAGUGUGAACAUUUUUUAAUCCAUUACCUAGUCUAUAAGAACUGUAGAUUGACAACAACUUAGAUUUAAUACUACUCUUUUUCUAGUCCCUCUCUAUACUACCUCUCAUCCGAGGAAACACUAUCACAAAUUUUGUAUUUGUUGUUCCCUUGCUUUUUAACAAGAUGAUUCUAUUAGAUAUGUACUGUUUUGUCCCCCAAAAGUGGUGGCAGGGGAGUUCACACAAGGGAGUGCCCAAAACCGUCCUAGUUGGGGCUGGUUGGGAUUCCAAAGAAAGGAGCACUAUGUGCCAAGGUGAUCUGUCCAAAGCAUUUAUUAAGGGAACUUACAUAGUGUUGCAGGAAUCCUCCCCAUGGGUGGUGAGAGAAAAGGGACAUUCUACCUAGAUAUGUCUGCAGUGAGGGGGUCAGGGUAUGGAGUUUAUAUAAGGGUUUAAAGAAUUUGGCUCAGGGCCAGAGCUAGUUUCUUUCACUGUUUUCAGUGACAACUUAGAUACCUUUAUCAGUGCCUGGGAAUGUUCAAGACCCAAGUUUGGGUUCAAGCAUGCUGGGAAAAAAUCUGCAGCUGGCUAGGUCACAGAGAGGUCAAGGCACUCUGAUUUUCAGUCACAGAAUAGUCAAGGCUCUGUGAUUUCCAGUCAGAGAUCCUGCAAUCCAUUUUCCUGACUGGCUCUUACAAUCUCACAUGCCCAUCUCUUCCUAUAUGUUCCCUGAGCUGGUCAGAAAGGGUGGGAUCAUCGGCAAUUUCUUUCCCCUGGCUUUAUGAAACACUGCAAACAAAACCUACACUAACAGUAAAUACAAGUGCACCUGACAAAAUCUAAAAUCACAUUUUCCAAAAGGCUUCCUAGCAGAGCUUUCCACCAAGGACCCCAUCCUGGAAAACAUGACUUUGUGUAGACCACCAGGCAUACCCUAUGUGGUCAGUAAGCUGUAAUUGCUUUCGUGAGUGAAGGACGGAUUGAUUAACUUCAGCUUCUUUGUCUAGAAUAUACACACAAUGUUCACUUUUGUAAAGGGCACAGGUUCCCCCUUGCACAGAUGUCAGCAUCUCUAGGGCCAUUUGGUUUUGUAGACCACUUUUUUCACUGCAGCUGUUUCAAUGUUCAAGGCCUCCAUACCAUGUUUGGUGUUGUUCAAAGCUGUGGAGACAAAUCUCUGAAGGGCUUCCAGCUUCUACACAGUAUCAGAAGAACCUCCUGGAGGCACAAAUAUAGUCAAUAAGUAAUCCCACCAAGAAAAAACAGGUCUACUCCACUGACCUCUCCAGAUGGACUCAUUGAGGGAUACAGGAAUGGUGCCAGAGAUUCUGGAGUCAUCCAAGCCACCCCAGGGGAAGCCAGGGCUGGAG
rnacentral:lncRNA from 1 species